rnacentral:rRNA from 1 species
UUNUGAACUGGGUGACUAGAGUGUGUCAGAGGGAGGUAGAAUNCCACGUGUAGCAGUGAAACGCGUAGAGAUGUGGAGGAAUACCGAUGGCGAAGGCAGCCUCCUGGGAUAACACUGACGUUCAUGCCCGAAAGCGUGGGUAGCAAACAGGAUUAGAUACCCUGGUAGUCCACGCCCUAAACGAUGUCGAUUAGCUGUUGGGCAGCAUGACUGCUUAGUAGCGAAGCUAACGCGUGAAAUCGACCGCCUGGGGAGUACGGUCGCAAGAUUAAAACUCAAAGGAAUUGACGGGGACCCGCGCAAGCGGUGGAUGAUGUGGAUUAAUUCGAUGCAACGCGAAGAACCUUACCUGGUCUUGACAUGUACGGAACCCUCCAGAGACGGAGGAGUGCCUUCGGGAGCCGUAACACAGGUGCUGCAUGGCUGUCGUCAGCUCGUGUCGUGAGAUGUUGGGUUAAGUCCCGCAACGAGCGCAACCCUUGUCAUUAGUUGCCAUCAUUAAGUUGGGCACUCUAAUGAGACUGCCGGUGACAAGCCGGAGGAAGGUGGGGAUGACGUCAAGUCCUCAUGGCCCUUAUGACCAGGGCUUCACACGUCAUACAAUGGUCGGUACAGAGGGUAGCCAAGCCGCGAGGCGGAGCCAAUCUCACAAAACUGAUCGUAGUCCGGAUUGCACUCUGCAACUCGAGUGCAUGAAGUCGGAAUCGCUAGUAAUCGCAGGUCAGCAUACUGCGGUGAAUACGUUCCCGGGUCUUGUACACACCGCCCGUCACACCAUGGGAGUGGGGGAUACCAGAA